GUCAAAAAUAAGCAUCUGUGCAUUUUCUGAGUGUUUCCAUAAACAGUGGUAGAUUUUAGUCAAUACACGAUUAUUAAAGUGAGAAAUAACUGUGAUAUUUUGAGAAAAAAAUAAGUUUUGAUUUUAGAUACAAAAGCCAAAAGAGGAAAAUGAUAUCAAAGGGACAUAGAAACUCAUCAGUCAAAAAUAAACUGACAACGCUUCGGCUAAAAAAGAGGAAAAAAAACAAUCAAUAGACAAACAAUAGAACACAAGACAUAACAUAGAAAAACUAAAGACUAGGC
rnacentral:lncRNA from 1 species